UACGAAGGGUGCAAACGUUGCUCGGAAUCAUUGGGCGUAAAGCGCACGUAGGCGGCUCCAAAAGUCGGAUGUGAAAUCCCUGGGCUCAACCGAGGAAGUGCAUCCGAAACUGCGGAGCUUGAGUAUGGAAGAGGGUCGCGGAAUUCCCGGUGUAGAGGUGAAAUUCGUAGAUAUCGGGAGGAACACCAGUGGCGAAGGCGGCGACCUGGGCCAAUACUGACGCUGAGGUGCGAA
rnacentral:rRNA from 1 species